CUCUUUUCAGAUGGACAACACAGAAAAGGCUGCAGAACAAGCUACCUCCACAGCCUGCAUUGAUCUGGAAAACAUACUGAGAGGGCUGGACUGCUUGUCUAACUGCAUGGAUCAACUGGCAGUGCAAACCCAUCUGAGACACUGUGAUCUGAUCGUUUGUGUUGGCCACCCUGACAAGCUGGCGUUUCUCAAAAUCGAAGAGGCAGUGAAGCAGCAGCCCCCAGCUUGACCAGAAACUGAGCUGUGAAGAACGAAGAAUAGGAAGGCUGAGAUUUAUGGGAAUUUGAGAAAGCAGCAUCUAACCUUGUUCACAUCUCUAAGGAUGACUUCAGCUUCAUAUCUGGUCAUCAUUCCUCCAUACCAGCUGGAAUCCAAAUCCUGGAUGGACCAUGAUAGAAAAGCCAUAGUAAGAGAUUAAUUAGACAAUUCUGGCUUGUUUUCUGUUAAGUGUCAGAAGAAUUUCGUUUAAAAAAAAAAAAAAAAAAAAAAAAAUCACAGAUAAUUCCGACUAGUCAGCCUAGUCAUUUAAAAGCAAUUUUACUUCUCACAAUGGAUAUGAGUUCCUAUUGUUGUAUUAUUUUUACAAUGUCGCCAUCUGCUGUUUCCAUUCUGAAAGUGUUGCUGGUGUUUAUUUAAAUAGAUGGCCUUGGCACUAACUGGA